CCUUUUAAAGAGCACCAAUUAUGCUAAUAAAUUGGCACGUUAGCACGUAAAUGCAGUAUCCCAUAGUACAUACAUGUUAUUAAAACUUGAACUAAUGCAUUGUGAGUCUUAUAAAUUGCUUACAUACCUCACCGAUUUCCCACUGUCUGAAAAACGCUCGGUUUAGUUCCUGUCUCCGCCUCCCAAAAUGUCUAGUGUAAUCGGAUUGGUCAGAUGACUACUCAACUGUUAUUGGUCAGCUGGGUUCGUCGUGUGUUUGAAAGGUUACGCCCCUGACUACGUGUGGGUUGACACACCGGUUCUGACUGAGUGUCACAGCCUCAGAGGCAACGUAAACAAGCGUUAUAUUUCUCUAUAAACGAUGGUGUCUGUACUGCCUUACCACUUCGAGCUCGAUCCAGAGAGUUCAGAAGGCCGUUACGAUAUAAACGAUCUCCGUCAAUGAAUGCGAUUGGAUUUAACUUUUUAGGUGUCCUUAGCUCUGCCAGAAUGCUAAACGAAGACGAAAAUGUGUUGCAAAGACAUCCAAAAGGUUUUAAGGAGAAUGCAACAGGUUCCAGGGCCUCUUACCUGCGUGAUUCAUCAUCCAGGUUUUGCACAAAUUGUCUAAAUCCCUACACACAGAACAUUUAUUGUACCGACUAUAAGCCUUUGAGGCGCAGGACUAGAAUAUGCUUGGAGCUUCCUGAUCGGAAUGUUGGCUUCCGACAACCCCUGCACUGAAGAUGGCAUGCAAUCACGUCCUCCUUUGAAGGUCUCUCAAACUAUGAUGCCAGGUCCAUUGGAAUCGGGGAUCCUUCA